ensembl:lncRNA
UAAGAACACCAUCCCUGCCGUGAAGCAUACCGGUGGCUGCAUCAUGCUAUGGGGAUGCUUCUCUGCGUCAAGGCCUUGAAAGCUUGUAAAGAUAGAGGACAAAGUGUAUGUAGAAAAGUACAGAGAAAUCCUGAAAGAAAAAUCUGCAAGAGACAUGGGGCUUGGAAGAAGAUUAUUCUUCCAGCUGGGCAAUGACCCCAAACACACAGCCAAAGCCACACUGGAGUGGCUUUAAAACAGACAAGUUAAAGGUCCUGGAGGGGCCCAGUCAAAGCCCAGACCUGAAUCCAAUUGAGAAUAUGUGGAUAUAGUCUAACAUUGCUGUUCACCAAAGGUCCCCAUCCAACUUGCAGGAUCCACAUACAGAGUCUCUUGCAGUGUCCCAUGGAUCUGCUGUCUUGUGUCCUAUGGAUCUACUGUCUUGUGUCCCAUGGAUCUGCUGUCUUGUGUCCCAUGGAUCUGCUGUCUUGUGUCCCAUGGAUCUGCUGUGCAGUGUCCCAUGGAUCUGCUGUCUUGUGUCCCAUCGAUCGGCUGUAUUGUGUCCCACGGAUCUGCUGUCUUGUGUCCCAUGGAUCUGCUGUCCAGUGUCCCAUGGAUCUGCUGUCCAGUGUUCCAUGGAUCUGCUGUCCAGUGUCCCAUCGAUCUGCUGUCUUGUGUCCCAUCGAUCUGCUGUCUUGUGUCCCAUGGAUCUGCUGUCCAGUGUCCCAUGGAUCUGCUGUCCAGUGUCCCAUGGAUCUGCUGUCCAGUGUCCCAUGGAUCUGCUGUCCAGUGUUCCAUGGAUCUGCUGUCUUGUGUCCCAUGGAUCUGCUGUCCUGUGGUCCCAUCGAUGGACAGAGACGAGAGACCUAAACCAACUCAUCACAGGACCAGGCUUCACAGGGACCUGACUCCUGGGGGGAAAGACUCCCAACAAACAGUAGAAUAGAAUCAGAAGGCAGAUAAUUAGGUACAGCCAUCUAGUACUGGGCUGGGGUCACUGUUCAUUUGGAGUCAUUUGCAGCAUGUUGAAUACAGCCCAUUUCAUCUUAUCCCAAAGCUUUUAUCAAAACUCUGUAAAGUUAAUAAAUUUAACUGCUGAUUUAAAAGAAAUAAAAGACUUUGUGAAAGA